AGUCUGGCAGAUCUCUACUAUGUGUUCAGAUUAUCUUAAACGUGUAGAGGAUGUAUAAAGUAGUUCCUUGGGCCUUUUCAGAGAUCUCUUUUGGUUCAAAGGGGACACCUAAAGUAUUUUACCAAGUUGGAUAAUUAUUGAGGUUUUCCCAAACUGAUCAGAGCCACUGAGGUGGGUAAUGUUCUAGCACUAACCCCUUACAGGCCUGGAGUUGCUGCUAGAUUGCUACUAGCCCUAUUGGGGGACCCCGGUGGUUUCUGGACACGUUGGAGUCAUACGUGGUGUCCAGCAACAACACCAUAUAUGGGAACACAGAGUUGGCACCAAACUUGAGAUGUUUGUAAAGUAACUUAAGAGAGUAAUUCAUGCUCAAUACAGAAAGUUUGGGAAACAUGGGAAGUACCAAAAGAAAAAACAAAAAUCACCUGUAGUCUCAUUAUCCAAAAAUAAACACUACUAUAU
rnacentral:lncRNA from 1 species